rnacentral:rRNA from 1 species
UGGGGAAUAUUGCGCAAUGGGGGCAACCCUGACGCAGCAACGCCGCGUGAAGGAUGAAGGUUUUCGGAUUGUAAACUUCUUUUGUCAAGGACGAAGGAUGUGACGGUACUUGACGAAUAAGCCACGGCUAACUACGUGCCAGCAGCCGCGGUAAUACGUAGGUGGCAAGCGUUGUCCGGAUUUACUGGGUGUAAAGGGCGAGUAGGCGGUAGGGCAAGUCAGAUGUGAAAGCCCGGGGCUUAACCCCGGAAUUGCAUUUGAAACUGUUUUACUUGAGUGGUGGAGAGGCAGGCGGAAUUCCCGGUGUAGCGGUGGAAUGCGUAGAUAUCGGGAGGAACACCAGUGGCGAAGGCGGCCUGCUGGACACUAACUGACGCUGAGGAGCGAAAGCGUGGGGAGC